UACGGGGGGGGCAAGCGUUGUUCGGAAUUACUGGGCGUAAAGGGCUCGUAGGCGGCCAACUAAGUCGGAUGUGAAAUCCCCAGGCUCAACCUGGGAACUGCAUCCGAUACUGAAUGGCUUGAAUUCGGGAGAGGGAUGCAGAAUUCCAGGUGUAGCGGUGAAAUGCGUAGAUAUCUGGAGGAAUACCGGUGGCGAAGGCGGCAUCCUGGACCGACAUUGACGCUGAUGAGCGAAAGCUAGGGGAGCAAACGGG
rnacentral:rRNA from 1 species